rnacentral:rRNA from 1 species
GAAUUUUGGACAAUGGGCGCAAGCCUGAUCCAGCCAUGCCGCGUGUGUGAAGAAGGCCUUCGGGUUGUAAAGCACUUUCGGACGGAACGAAAUCGCGCGGGUUAACAGCCCGCGUGGAUGACGGUACCGUAAGAAGAAGCACCGGCUACCUACCUGCCAGCAGCCGCGGUAAUACGUAGGGUGCAAGCGUUAAUCGGAAUUACUGGGCGUAAAGUGUGCGUAGGCGGCCCCGCAUGUCGAGUGUGAAAUCCCCGGGCUUAACUUGGGAAUGGCGCUCGAAACUACGGGGCUGGAGUGUGGCAGAGGGAGGUGGAAUUCCACGUGUAGCGGUGAAAUGCGUAGAGAUGUGGAGGAACACCAAUGGCGAAGGCAGCCUCCUGGGCCAACACUGACGCUCAUGCACGAAAGCGUGGGGAGCAAACAGG